GGACAAAGAAAGAUGUGUGGCAUAGCAGUGAUUGUGUCUGGAAUUAAGAUAAGUUUAUCAUCUUUAGACCCAAAUUUUAUCUCUCCAAUACCUUUAUUGGAACAAAAGGUAAUAGUAUAUAACUCUCUUUACUGAAAUAACCAUUGAUUCAAGAAUAGCUAAACUGCAGCCUUAUUAGGGCCUUUAUUUACUUCUGAUUUCAUAUUUG
rnacentral:misc_RNA from 1 species